GACAAACGCUGGCGGCGUGCUUAACACAUGCAAGUCGAACGGUAAGGCCCUUCGGGGUACACGAGUGGCGAACGGGUGAGUAACACGUGGGUGAUCUGCCCUGCACUUCGGGAUAAGCCUGGGAAACUGGGUCUAAUAACGGAUAAGACCACUGCCUGCAUGGGGGGUGGUGGAAAGCUGUUGCGGUGUGGGAUUGGGCCGCGGCCUAGCAGCUUGGUGGUGGGGUGAUGGCCUACCAAGGCGACGACGGGUAGCCGGCCUGAGAGGGUGACCGGCCACACUGGGACUGAGAUACGGCCCAGACUCCUACGGGAGGCAGCAGUGGGGAAUAUUGCACAAUGGGCGCAAGCCUGAUGCAGCGACGCCGCGUGAGGGAUGACGGCCUUCGGGUUGUAAACCUCUUUCAGCACCGACGAAGCGCAAGCGACGGUAGGUGCAGAAGAAGGACCGGCCAACUACGUGCCAGCAGCCGCAGUAA
rnacentral:rRNA from 1 species